GAGGGGAUAACUCAGUGGUAGAGCGCAUGCCUAGCAAGCAUGAAGUCCUGGAUUCCAUCCCUAGUACCACCA
rnacentral:tRNA from 1 species